ACUCAAAGGAAUUGACGGGGGCCCGCACAAGCGGCGGAGCAUGUGGAUUAAUUCGAUGCAACGCGAAGAACCUUACCUAGGCUUGACAUAUACAGGACGACGGCAGAGAUGUCGUUUCCCUUGUGGCUUGUAUACAGGUGGUGCAUGGUUGUCGUCAGCUCGUGUCGUGAGAUGUUGGGUUAAGUCCCGCAACGAGCGCAACCCCUGUCUCAUGUUGCCAGCACGUAAUGGUGGGGACUCGUGAGAGACUGCCGGGGUCAACUCGGAGGAAGGUGGGGAUGACGUCAAAUCAUCAUGCCCCUUAUGUCUAGGGCUUCACACAUGCUACAAUGGCUAGUACAGAGGGCUGCGAUACCGCGAGGUGGAGCGAAUCCCUUAAAGCUGGUCUCAGUUCGGAUUGGGGUCUGCAACUCGACCCCAUGAAGUCGGAGUCGCUAGUAAUCGCAGAUCAGCAACGCUGCGGUGAAUACGUUCCCGGGCCUUGCACACACCGCCCGU
rnacentral:rRNA from 1 species